rnacentral:rRNA from 1 species
UGCUCGAGUGGCGAACGGGUGAGUAACACGUGAGUAACCUGCCUUUACUUUGGGAUAACUUCAGGAAACUGGGGCUAAUACCGGAUAGGAGCUCCUGCUGCAUGGUGGGGGUUGGAAAGUUUCGGCGGUUGGGGAUGGACUCGCGGCUUAUCAGCUUGUUGGUGGGGUAGUGGCUUACCAAUGCUUUGACGGGUAGCCGGCCUGAGAGGGUGACCGGCCACAUUGGGACUGAGAUACGGCCCAG